rnacentral:rRNA from 1 species
UGGGGAAUAUUGGACAAUGGGCGAAAGCCUGAUCCAGCCAUGCCGCGUGUGUGAAGAAGGUCUUCGGCUUGUAAAGCACUUUAAGUUGGGAGGAAGGGCAUUAACCUAAUACGUUAGUGUUUUGACGUUACCGACAGAAUAAGCACCGGCUAACUCUGUGCCAGCAGCCGCGGUAAUACAGAGGGUGCAAGCGUUAAUCGGAAUUACUGGGCGUAAAGCGCGCGUAGGUGGUUUGUUAAGUUGGAUGUGAAAUCCCCGGGCUCAACCUGGGAACUGCAUUCAAAACUGACUGACUAGAGUAUGGUAGAGGGUGGUGGAAUUUCCUGUGUAGCGGUGAAAUGCGUAGAUAUAGGAAGGAACACCAGUGGCGAAGGCGACCACCUGGACUAAUACUGACGCUCAGGUGCGAAAGCGUGGGGAGCAAACA